GACUUCCACAAUGGACGCAAGUCUGAUGGAGCAACGCCGCGUGAGUGAAGAAGGUUUUCGGACCGUAAAGCUCUGUUGUUGGUGAAGAAGGAUAGAGGUAGUAACUGGCCUUUAUUUGACGGUAAUCAACCAGAAAGUCACGGCUAACUACGUGCCAGCAGCCGCGGUAAUACGUAGGUGGCAAGCGUUGUCCGGAUUUAUUGGGCGUAAAGCGAGCGCAGGCGGAAGAAUAAGUCUGAUGUGAAAGCCCUCGGCUUAACCGAGGAAUUGCAUCGGAAACUG
rnacentral:rRNA from 1 species